GCCACUUCUGAGUAACGAACGCAAUGACAAUCAAAGAUUCCUUUCAGAACUCUAUAAGUAGAGCUCCCAACUUGCUUAACAAGCAGAAUGUAACAUAAAUAGUGAAGUGAGUCUUACGAGUAUUGAGUGUUCUAAGUCUUGUGAGUGUUCAUCAUUUUCUGUAAAAUUUUAAUAUAAUAAAAUUUCUUAUGGUAUUUUCUCAAUCUCAAUCUGCU
rnacentral:misc_RNA from 1 species